rnacentral:misc_RNA from 1 species
UGGUUCUGGCAUCGAUGAAGAACGCAGCGAAAUGCGAUAAGUAAUGUGAAUUGCAGAAUUCAGUGAAUCAUCGAAUCUUUGAACGCACAUUGCGCCCCUUGGUAUUCCGGGGGGCAUGCCUGUUCGAGCGUCAUUAUAACCCCUCAAGCUCAGCUUGGUGUUGGGGCCUGCCGUUUGGCAGCCCUUAAAAUCAGUGGCGGUGCCAUCUGGCUCUAAGCGUAGUAAUUCUUCUCGCUAUGGAGACCUGGUGGAUGCUUGCCAUCAACCCCCAAUUUUCUAUGGUUGACCUCGGAUCAGGUAGGGAUACCCGCUGA